rnacentral:misc_RNA from 1 species
UUUAGGCUAAAAAGCCAGCCUAAUCUAGUCGAUAGAGCACCCGUCUCUAUCGCAAUGACCAGGCUUAGGG